UCAGAGGAAAGCCAGAGAGCUUAGCCGCUGGCCUCUCUCGCCGAGCGCUGUCUGGAGACGAGCACAGCACAGGGAGCAGCCGGGCAGGGCGAGUCCCGGGGAACCCACGGGUCAAACUGCGUGUCCGUCGCAGACGUCUCGCCGGGCUUUGGGAUGCCCUGCCUUCAAUGCCGUAAAACCGGGGGGUCUGGUCCUCAUCAAGACAGCCCUGUCUGACGACAAAAGCAGAGGCUUCCAGUGCUUCAGACCAGAAGAGGGGAACUUGUUACUUGGGACAUGCAGGGACACUGCUUGGAAUCCUAAACUCUGCCAAAGGGUUUCCGCCUGCUUUGGUGUGGUUCCGUGUCAUACGUCUAACAAUUUCAGGUGUGCAGCUCUGUGGCGUUGGGAACAUUCACGUUGCUGAACAACAAUCACCACCAUCCGCUCCAGAACUUUUUCGUCUUCCUCAGCUGAAACUCUGUCCCCGUUAAAUGCUAACUCCUCAGUCCCCCUUCCCCAGGCCCACCCUACUUUCUGUCUCCGUGACUUUGCUCUCAGGACGUCAUCUAGGAGGAAUCGUACAAUAAUCGCUCUUUUAUGACCGGCUUACUUCAUUUUGCACAAUGUCCCCAAGGUCCGUUCACGUUGUGGCCUUCCCUGUAGAAGUCCCCUCCUUUUUAAGGCGGAACAGUAUUCCGUUGUGUGGCUAGGCUGCGUUUUAUUUAUCUAUUCAUCCGGUGAUGGACACUUGGGUCGCUUCCACCUUUCGGCCAUUGUGACUAACGUUGCUGUGAACACGGGUGUGCAGAUAUCUGUUCAAGUCUGGGUACAAACCAGACGUGUGAUUAAAAUAUUGCCUGCAGAGCCCUUAGCGCGUGCUUGGCAUAUAGUAACCAUUCAGCCCUGUAGCUGAUAAAACUAGCGUUAGGAAAAUAGUGGGGGAAGUGUUUUGAAAUGCAAAUUAAAGAAUGAAAUGUCAAGUGA